UUGCCUUGAGGAAAACACUUUGUUCCCUCCACUUCUCCCCUGCCGCCCUCCCUCCCCUCCCCUUCCACAGUUCCUGUUUUCUUUGACACUGGGGUUAGGCAAGAACUUUAUUGCUGUUAUAUAUCACAGCAUGAAACUACUACUUUCUGACCAUGGAAAUGUGGGUAGUGAAUGAUGAUACAUUCCUGAGAGGAAGAUAUUUGAUGCUUCGUUCAUUUUGGGAUGGGGACACAGUGCUUCAAGAAAGAAAACAUCCAUCAAUUGAAGUAGAAUUUUGGUUUAGAUCCAGAAGACGUCACAGGCAAGGAGUGUUGGAGAUCUCCAAGUGUCAACCUUGUGGUCCUCUUGAUUCAGCCUUCCGAUUGCUGGGAUUAUAGUUCAUCUCAUUUCAAAUGUUUAUGGAAGAAGCACUUCAUUGAAAGUAGUGCUGUAAAUAUUCUGCCAUAGGAAUACUUCUGUCUACAUGCCUUUUCAUCCAAGAAUUCGUCAUCACGCUGCACAGGCUGCGUCUUUGAUGAUAAAUGCUGUCUUCACCCUUCAUCAAGGAAAUCUCUCUGCAACAGAUGAAGAACAUUGUAUAAAACCACAACUAAUCAAAUGCAGAGCUAUGGAGCCUAGUCCCAACAAAACACUCUCACACCUAAGGCUCAAGAAACAUUUCAGAAGAUGGAGCAAGAAGAUUUUAAGAACCAGAGGAUCAAGGAAUUUGCUGUGAGAUUGUGUCUGUGUGUAACAUCAGAAGCUACACCUGUAAAGUCCCACCAACAUGACUGCCCAGGCAUUGGCUGAACGAAGAAGACACUAAUAAAUGUUCAGAGCUGGAUGGGGGAAAUCCCAGAAGGCAUCAGCCCUAACUGAAGUAGACAGAAACUAAGUAAAGCUGUGAGCAGGAGACAUAGUCCUUCCUGGGAAAGAGUACAUGAAUGGGCUGUCCAGUGCCAAAUGGUCAGCCUGAAAACAAACAUACAAGUAAUAUUAUAUGUACUCAGAUGGUGGACCACGGUAGGGACUGAUUGACAUGGUUCCUGCCCCUGGAACAGAGCCAGCAGGGAGUGGCCUCCAUGAGUUGCUGUGAACAUAUGGCUUGUGUGUAUAAAAGUAUAAGUAUCUUA